rnacentral:rRNA from 1 species
UCAGGAUGAACGCUGGCGGCGUGCUUAACACAUGCAAGUCGAACGGUGAAGCCAAGCUUGCUUGGUGGAUCAGUGGCGAACGGGUGAGUAACACGUGAGCAACCUGCCCUGGACUCUGGGAUAAGCGCUGGAAACGGCGUCUAAUACUGGAUAUGAACUCUCAUCGCAUGGUGGGGGUUGGAAAGAUUUUUCGGUCUGGGAUGGGCUCGCGGCCUAUCAGCUUGUUGGUGAGGUAAUGGCUCACCAAGGCGUCGACGGGUAGCCGGCCUGAGAGGGUGACCGGCCACACUGGGACUGAGACACGGCCCAGACUCCUACGGGAGGCAGCAGUGGGGAAUAUUGCACAAUGGGCGGAAGCCUGAUGCAGCAACGCCGCGUGAGGGAUGACGGCCUUCGGGUUGUAAACCUCUUUUAGCAAGGAAGAAGNGU